rnacentral:rRNA from 1 species
GACGAACGCUGGCGGCGUGCUUAACACAUGCAAGUCGAACGGAAAGGCCCUGCUUUUGUGGGGUGCUCGAGUGGCGAACGGGUGAGUAACACGUGAGUAACCUGCCCUUGACUUUGGGAUAACUUCAGGAAACUGGGGCUAAAACCGGAUAGGAGCUCCUGCUGCAUGGUGGGGGUUGGAAAGUUUCGGCGGUUGGGGAUGGACUCGCGGCUUAUCAGCUUGUUGGUGGGGUAGUGGCUUACCAAGGCUUUGACGGGUAGCCGGCCUGAGAGGGUGACCGGCCACAUUGGGACUGAGAUACGGCCCAGACUCCUACGGGAGGCAGCAGUGGGGAAUAUUGCACAAUGGGCGGAAGCCUGAUGCAGCAACGCCGCGUGCGGGAUGACGGCCUUCGGGUUGUAAACCGCUUUCGCCUGUGGCGAAGCGUGAGUGACGGUAAUGGGUAAAGAAGCACCGGCUAACUACGUG